CACCUCCUUUAGAGUUUGAUCCUGGCUCAGGACGAACGCUGGCGGCGUGCUUAACACAUGCAAGUCGAACGGUGAAGCUCAAGCUUGCUUGGGUGGAUCAGUGGCGAACGGGUGAGUAACACGUGAGCAACCUGCCCCGGACUCUGGAAUAAGCGCUGGAAACGGCGUCUAAUACUGGAUAUGACACCAAUCCGCAUGGGUAUGGUGUGGAAAGUUUUUCGGUCUGGGAUGGGCUCGCGGCCUAUCAGCUUGUUGGUGAGGUAAUGGCUCACCAAGGCGACGACGGGUAGCCGGCCUGAGAGGGCGACCGGCCACACUGGGACUGAGACACGGCCCAGACUCCUACGGGAGGCAGCAGUGGGGAAUAUUGCACAAUGGGCGAAAGCCUGAUGCAGCGACGCCGCGUGAGGGAUGACGGCCUUCGGGUUGUAAACCUCUUUCAGC
rnacentral:rRNA from 1 species